rnacentral:rRNA from 1 species
UACGGGGGGGGGCAAGCGUUGUUCGGAAUUACUGGGCGUAAAGGGCUCGUAGGUGGCCAACUAAGUCGGACGUGAAAUCCCCAGGCUCAACUUGGGAACUGCGUCCGAUACUGGAUGGCUUGAAUUCGGGAGAGGGAUGUGGAAUUCCAGGUGUAGCGGUGAAAUGCGUAGAUAUCUGGAGGAACACCGGUGGCGAAGGCGGCAUCCUGGACCAACACUGACACUGAGGAGCGAAAGCCAGGGGAGCAAACGGG